UACGUAGGUGGCAAGCGUUGUCCGGAUUUACUGGGCGUAAAGAGCGCGCAGGCGGUCGUUCAAGUCGCGUGUGAAAGCCCCCGGCUCAACUGGGGAGGGUCACGCGAUACUGAUCGACUCGAAGGCAGGAGAGGGUAGUGGAAUUCCCGGUGUAGUGGUGAAAUGCGUAGAUAUCGGGAGGAACACCAGUGGCGAAGGCGACUACCUGGCCUGUUUCUUGACGCUGAGGCGCGAAAGCUAGGGGAGCGAACAGG
rnacentral:rRNA from 1 species